rnacentral:rRNA from 1 species
UACGGAGGGGGCGAGCGUUAUUCGGAAUUAUUGGGCGUAAAGGGCGCGUAGGCGGCCCGGUAAGUCAAAGGUGAAAUCCCUCGGCUCAACUGAGGAACUGCCUUUGAAACUGUCGGGCUUGAGGCCGGGAGGGGGUAGCGGAAUUCCCAGUGUAGCGGUGAAAUGCGUAGAUAUUGGGAGGAACACCAGCGGCGAAGGCGGCUUUCUGGACGAUAACUGACGCUGAGACGCGAAAGCGUGGGGAGCAAACAGG